UACUAUCUAUAUAAUAAAUUAAUAUAUAUAUAUUUAUGAUUUCUAAAACCAUUACACUUUUCUGCCAAAAUAGU
rnacentral:tRNA from 1 species